AGUGAACGCUGGCGGUAGGCCUAACACAUGCAAGUCGAACGGCAGCACAGGAGAGCUUGCUCUCUAGGUGGCGAGUGGCGGACGGGUGAGGAAUACAUCGGAAUCUGCCCAGUCGUGGGGGAUAACGUAGGGAAACUUACGCUAAUACCGCAUACGACCUUCGGGUGAAAGAGGGGGAUCGCAAGACCUCUCGCGAUUGGAUGAGCCGAUGUCGGAUUAGCUAGUUAGCGGGGUAAUGGUCCACCAAGGCGACGAUCCGUAGCUGGUCUGAGAGGAUGAUCAGCCACACUGGAACUGAGACACGGUCCAGACUCCUACGGGAGGCAGCAGUGGGGAAUAUUGGACAAUGGGCGCAAGCCUGAUCCAGCCAUACCGCGUGGGUGAAGAAGGCCUUCGGGUUGUAAAGCCCUUUUGUUGGGAAAGAAAUCUUUCAGGCUAAUACCCUGGGAGGAUGACGGUACCCAAAGAAUAAGCACCGGCUAACUUCGUG
rnacentral:rRNA from 1 species